AUCCAGCUAAUGAAUCUAAAAUAGGACGAAACGCGUGUCCUAGAU
rnacentral:hammerhead_ribozyme from 1 species